UACAGAGGGGGCAAGCGUUGUUCGGAAUUACUGGGCGUAAAGGGCGCGUAGGCGGCCUUCUAAGUCGAACGUGAAAUCCCCGGGCUCAACCCGGGAACUGCGUCCGAUACUGGAAGGCUUGAAUCCGGGAGAGGGAUGUGGAAUUCCUGGUGUAGCGGUGAAAUGCGCAGAUAUCAGGAGGAACACCAAUAGCGAAGGCAGCUCGCUGGGACGGUAUUGACGCUAAGGCGCGAAAGCGUGGGGAGCAAACAGG
rnacentral:rRNA from 1 species